rnacentral:rRNA from 1 species
GACGAACGCUGGUGGCGUGCCUAAUACAUGCAAGUCGAGCGGACCAAUAGAAGCUUGCUUCUGUUGGUUAGCGGCGGACGGGUGAGUAACACGUGGGCAACCUGCCUGUAAGACUGGGAUAACUUCGGGAAACCGGAGCUAAUACCGGAUAAUUCAUCCCCUCGCAUGAGGGGAUGCUGAAAGUCGGUUUACGCUGACACUUACAGAUGGGCCCGCGGCGCAUUAGCUAGUUGGUGAGGUAAUGGCUCACCAAGGCGACGAUGCGGAGCCGACCUGAGAGGGUGAUCGGCCACACUGGGACUGGGACACGGCCCAGACUCCUACGGGAGGCAGCAGUAGGGAAUCUUCCACAAUGGACGAAAGUCUGAUGGAGCAACGCCGCGUGAGCGAUGAAGGCCUUCGGGUCGUAAAGCUCUGUUGUUAGGGAAGAACAAGUAUCGGAGUAACUGCCGGUACCUUGACGGUACCUAACCAGAAAGCCACGGCUAACUACGUGCCAGCAGCCGCCGUAA